rnacentral:rRNA from 1 species
CAAAGGCCGGGCGGCAGCUAUACUGCAGUCGAGCGAAUGGAUUAGGAGCUUGCUCUUAUGAAGUUAGCGGCGGACGGGUGAGUAACACGUGGGUAACCUGCCCAUAAGACUGGGAUAACUCCGGGAAACCGGGGCUAAUACCGGAUAACAUUUUGAACCGCAUGGUUCGAAAUUGAAAGGCGGCUUCGGCUGUCACUUAUGGAUGGACCCGCGUCGCAUUAGCUAUUUGGUGAGGUAACGGCUCACCUAGGCAACUAUGCGUAGCCGACCUGAGAGGGUGAUCGGCCUCACUGGGACUGAAACACCGCCCAGACUCCUACGGGAGGCAGCAGUAGGGAAUCUUCCGCUUUGGAAGAA